ACUUGUACCGACUGGAUGAGCAGCGAACGGGUGAGUAACGCGUGGGGAAUCUGCCUUUGAGCGGGGGACAACAUUUGGAAACGAAUGCUAAUACCGCAUAAAAACUUUAAACACAAGUUUUAAGUUUGAAAGAUGCAAUUGCAUCACUCAAAGAUGAUCCCGCGUUGUAUUAGCUAGUUGGUGAGGUAAAGGCUCACCAAGGCGAUGAUACAUAGCCGACCUGAGAGGGUGAUCGGCCACAUUGGGACUGAGACACGGCCCAAACUCCUACGGGAGGCAGCAGUAGGGAAUCUUCGGCAAUGGACGAAAGUCUGACCGAGCAACGCCGCGUGAGUGAAGAAGGUUUUCGGAUCGUAAAACUCUGUUGGUAGAGAAGAACGUUGGUGAGAGUGGAAAGCUCAUCAAGUGACGGUAACUACCCAGAAAGGGACGGCUAACUACGUGCCAGCAGCCGCGGUAAUACGUAGGUCCCGAGCGUUGUCCGGAUUUAUUGGGCGUAAAGCGAGCGCAGGUGGUUUAUUAAGUCUGGUGUAAAAGGCAGUGGCUCAACCAUUGUAUGCAUUGGAAACUGGUAGACUUGAGUGCAGGAGAGGAGAGUGGAAUUCCAUUGGUUAGCGGGU
rnacentral:rRNA from 1 species